rnacentral:rRNA from 1 species
UACGUAGGGGGCAAGCGUUGUCCGGAAUCAUUGGGCGUAAAGAGCGUGUAGGCGGUCCGGUAAGUCGGCUGUGAAAGUCCAGGGCUCAACCCUGGGAUGCCGGUCGAUACUGCCGGACUAGAGUUCGGAAGAGGCGAGUGGAAUUCCCGGUGUAGCGGUGAAAUGCGCGAGAUAGUCGGGAGGAACACCUAUGGCGAAGGCAGCUCGCUGGGACGUUACUGACGCUGAGAACGCGGAAAGCGUGGGGAGCAAACAGG